UACGAAGGGGGCUAGCGUUGCUCGGAAUCACUGGGCGUAAAGGGUGCGUAGGCGGGUCUUUAAGUCAGGGGUGAAAUCCUGGAGCUCAACUCCAGAACUGCCUUUGAUACUGAAGAUCUUGAGUUCGGGAGAGGUGAGUGGAACUGAGUGUAGAGGUGAAAUUCGUAGAUAUUCGCAAGAACACCAGUGGCGAAGGCGGCUCACUGGCCCGAUACUGACGCUGAGGCACGAAAGCGUGGGGAGCAAACAGG
rnacentral:rRNA from 1 species